ACCUUAUGCUCUACAAAUCAAAGUUUGAUUUAUUAUUUUGUUUAUUGUCUAAACUUAAGAGAGUGAUAGAGAAAAUGUUAGUAAUGCAAACUAAACUUAAUAGUUUAUCAUGUAUACUGUUUCUUUUUCUUCUCCAGAGAGCCCAUUGUUAAACAUCUGCCAAUACACAGUUGAUCAGGAAUAAUAAGAGGUAAAAGUAAGAAUAAGGAACUCCAGGAUGAUUGAGAGACUGGCCUGUUGGAGUGGAGGGUUCAAGUUGAAGAAUUACCAAAGUCCAGUGGUAAAACAGAGUUCAGGAUGACUGGCAAUGUCCUGGAAUGAAGGGAUGACCUUGGCAUCUCUGUUUAACCAAGCUCUAGGCACUCCACAGUGCCCAUUUCAGCUGACUCCAUGGCCACUGGGACAAAUUAUUCUCAUUUGCCCAUUCCACUGGGGUGAGAGUUGAGUGCCAGGAGGAUACCAGGAGUGAACAAGCAGUGAGUACAACUGGACAGUAAAACAGUGUUCAGCUUCUUUCCAUCAAGUUCUGUCCAAGAAGUCCCCCUUUUCUCUAGGAGGAGAUGUUCAGGAUAUCCUCCUUCUAUUUGGAACCUCCUCUCUUAGAACCUCCACCAUCCAAGAACUCCUGAGAGCUUCUGCAAUCAAUUUUUUUUCAGCUGCCAUCUUUAUGGCUGAGGUGGAUCCACCACUAAAGGAAUUCCUUUGUAGCUAUGGAGGAGGCAUUUCAAAGUUGCAAACAAUGUCCUCAUCCUUUAAACUUGUUAGAUUGCCUUAGUUGACUCCUGAUCAUAGUCUUUACACCUAAAGAGAGACAAAGAGUGAUAGCUAAUACUUAUCUGUUGCUUUAAGUUUUCCACAGGAAUUUGGGGAUGUGGUCUGCACGGGACUUGGGAACCAAUUAGGUAUAGGGGCAAGGAGGGGGAGAAGAGAAGAAAGAGUUCAAAUGACUGAGGUUCCCAACUUGAGUACCUGAGAGAAUGGUGGGACCAUUAACUGAAUUAGGAAGUCAUGAAUAAGGGCAGAUUUGGAUUCCCUUCUCAAAUUAUUGUAUUAAUCUGUUG
rnacentral:lncRNA from 1 species